rnacentral:lncRNA from 1 species
UCUCUCUUCUCCCUCUUAUUUUAUGUUUGUUUCUUUCAUUGAGGACAAUGCAUAUUUUAAGUGUGGGGGAGGGAAUACUUUAUUUUAUUUGUUUUUGUCCUUUGUUUUGUUUUGUUUUUGUUUUCUUUCUAAAAAAAUUGCAUUUUUGUUGAAAGUUUUAGGCUAUAGAUUACUUUGAGUCGAGUUUGCGGAGACUUGAGAAAAAUUCACAAGAUCGGUAUUGUUUUAACACCGUAAGUCUCCUGAAUAUGGAAAUUGAGUUGAAUUUUUAUUAUGUUUUAGCCUUAAAUUCUCAUUCUCUAAUAGCUCUUGAGUAGUUUAUUUCAGCAGUCAGCACCAUCUCACACACACUUUACGCAGGGAAGCCGAUG